GCCAGGGAAGAAGAACACCAAACUACUCCCGAGUCUACUCUCCCAGGAGGCUGGGAAACGGAGGCCACUCGUUUUCCUCAAACAUCAAGGCCAAGUUUCAGCUUCAUUCAGGGCAGGCUUGUUUAAUAUUCAAGUGUCCAGGCUGAAGUCCAUCUCUGGCAUUGGGGACACAGACAUGAAGGUGACACAGUCCCUACCCCCAGGAACUCCAGCAAUGAGAGAUGUAACACAUACCCGCAGUGAAGUGUGGUAACCACAAUCAUGUUAUGCAUAAUGGUAUCCAAGUAGGAUGACUGACUCUAUGAUGACGACUUUACUAGACAAUGUUGAGGAAAUCUGCACAAGAUUAAUGACAAAGAAAUCAUCAUUAGGAAACAAGGAACAGCUAAGAAGUGACUAGGCCUGGACCUGAAUCUAGGCAGCUGGUAAUCUUCACCAAUGACUAUGCUGACUUUCAUGAUAAUAGGAUGACUUGGGUAAUGAAGGGCCUGGAAGAAAUAUGGUGACUUUCAUUGUAA